GGUACAGGCUUGCACCAAACAGGAGAGGUGGAAACUCGUGUCCCAACUAACCUGGGUCCACCACCUUCAGCAGACAGGGUCCUGGCUUUGCUGAGCUUUACCUCCAAAAUUUGCUGGCCGGACAACCUGUCACAGAAGAAGCAGUACUGACACCAUCAGAGUGCACUUCCCCACCCAUGUGCGCUGCUCUGGAAUAGAAACCCAUCAGGGCCUGGGCUAGCCUUGCCAAGUGGAUUACAUGUUCCAGAAUAAUUUUUAUGAUACAAUAAUGCUGGGUUCCUGACCGUGUGUUUCCCAUCUGAGUUACCCCAGGGAAGAAUCUGGGAUGCAGCUUGUCCAUGAUGACAGCCUCUGCCCUGCCAGGUGGCCGACGAAGCAAAGAGAGCAUCUGUUUUCUUCCACGUGUAUGUGCCAAAAUAUCGGGUGGUUUUUCAUUGUCGUCUCAAGGGAAUAUGAAAGGGAAAAAAGAAAAAUCAGUGUUCCUCCUCUUGGUCACUGAGGGACUGGAGUGGAAGGUGCAGCAGGAAGGGGGUUAGCUCCUGGAAUAUGCUGGUGGUCUCUGUGCUGCAGUGCUGUGAGUGAGGUUACCAGCUCAUCCCCUUUCCCUGCCUUGACUGACUGGUCCAAAGGAUUUUUUAUUUUUUAAUUUUUGUGUAGGCAAGUCGACUGAAAAGGAAAGGGUAAGGAAAGGGCAUAGAAAGGGAACUGAGCUGGAGAGAAAGAUGAGGGGGGAAUGUGGCUGCUGAAAGAACUCGCAGGAGAGAUUCUGCUGCAAGUUGUUUGACAGUGAGGAGGGAAAGCUUAUUGCAUGCAGUGUUCUUGCUACCUGGAAAGCCUUUGGGUUUAGUAAUUGGAGGCUCUUGAUUUGUUUUCUCAGCAUGGGCAGGCAACCCUGUGACACGUAAAUUCUCUCCCAAAACACAGGCUUUCAGCUCCCACACUAGCUGUUGUUACUGAAGCCCACUGUCAUAACACCACGCAAUGCUGGCAUGUGGGAGAGCAGCCCCCAGCCUCUCUCUGUGCUCUUCAUCUUGGAGAAUUUAGGAACAAAGCAACUGACACGGAGAGAAAAGACUUGCGGUAUGUCUGUAGUGUGAUUGGCAUUUCUUUUUGUGAAAUCUCAGGAGGUGAAAGUCAUAUUAAAUGUGAGUGACACAACUGAAAUACAAAAUAAGCCAGAAAUAUUUCACAGAGAUGCCAGAUUUUUCUAAAUUUUUUUUUUUUUUUUUGUAAGAUACCUUUUCUAUAGGAGAUUAAAUAUUUAUUUUCUGGUCUUCAGGAUAAUAAAUUCUUUAUUUUUUUUUUUUUCUUAAGUGUACUGCUUUACAAUGAGUAUUUGCACGCAGAUAGCUCACAAAUUAUUCCUAGGAAUCAAAACAAUUACAGAGCUUUCAUAUAUUCCAACAAAGGAACCUCCUGUUGGGGUGAUUCCCUCUGCCUCCCCCCCCUUCUUUUAGUCUGCGACGGCUGAGCCUGUUCAAGGUUUUAUAGGGUAGUGAAUGGUAUCACCUAGAAACAGACAAUUGAUAAGAGGUUGCCUGGGAAACCCUGUGCUCAUAGAUUUUCAUUUUGCUGCAUUAUGCACCUGUAGGUGCAAUUAUUCAUAAUUAAAAAAAGUCCUCCCGUGGAACUG